UAUAAGACUCUUCAAGGCAUAAAAGGCACGUUCUAUUUGUAAUCCUAUAAGAGGUGGCAGAAGAAACAAUAUUCCAAGAAAUUUCUGUUGUCUCUUUUAAGCUGCCAUAUCUUAUGUAUGUAUGUAUGUAUACAUACGUGUAGGGAUCUAGCUUGAUCCUGCCUAAGAUUUGAAACCAAAUCUACUUGCUUGUUGCUUGUCAAAACGAGCGGGGAAUUCCUCUCCACACCAGAUGAUUGAGGAGGAAACACUCUACCCCCUAGGACCUGUGUUGGUCAAGGAAAGGUAUGACCAAAGAGCAACACGGCUCUCCUCGGCCGCAAGAAAGACGAUGCCUCCUCUAUCCUUUCUUGUCAGCACCGUGCAUUCCUUACUCUUUCACUCUCUACUGACAGACAACCCUUUUCCACACUACCAACUACUAACCAGCGAGCCAUCCUUAUUGUCACUAUCACUAGAAUUGCUACUGACUCGUUUACCUGUUGGGUAAACGAAUAAACAUAUACUAUUAUAACUAAUACGGAUUUGUCAACGUUGAUCUCGUUUUCUUGGGAAUUUACGGAUUUUACAUACACAAAUGAAGCAGUGAUUUCAGCAAGAGCUAUGAAUAAGAAAUAAUGUAGCCAACUGGAAGAUUAUAAUUGCUCUGAAUUACAACUGCCAGCUAUAAUCAACAUGAACAGAUUAGAAGUUGAUCCAAAUUUGAAUUGCAAUCACUUUUACUUUACACGCUUGUUUAGCCCUUGAACAUUCUGAAAGAAUGUUUGUGAAUGAAAUAGUAUCAUUUAGAAUCACUUCAACAAGCAAUAUGUUUGGCAUUAAUUUUAGGGACAUCACAAGAGGUUGCAUAAUAUGACCAAAGCCAUACAAAUGCAAAGCUGAAGAAUUUAAAUUUUAUAUUAUUAUCACAAGCAUAUAUUGUGAGCUAAUGAAGGUGCUUCUCCAUUUUUGCUUGAUCUGUUAAAAAUAGUAGCCAAAUCUCCUUUAA